UACGUAGGGUCCGAGCGUUGUCCGGAAUUAUUGGGCGUAAAGGGCUCGUAGGCGGUCCGUCACGUCGGGAGUGAAAACUCGGAGCUCAACUCCGAGCCUGCUUCCGAUACGGGCAGACUAGAGGUAGGCAGGGGAGAGCGGAACUCCUGGUGUAGCGGUGGAAUGCGCAGAUAUCAGGAAGAACACCGGUGGCGAAGGCGGCUCUCUGGGCCUUACCUGACGCUCAGGUGCGAAAGCUAGGGGAGCGAACAGG
rnacentral:rRNA from 1 species